UAUUAUAUUUAAAAGCAUCUUGAAUAUCUUCAUUCUAAACUCAUUUAAAAUAUAAUCCUAUAAAAUUUAUGUAAACUAUAGUGGUUACAUAUUGUAAGUCUCAAGAUUGUUACAUAUAAAAGGAACUUUAAUUUGAAUAAAAACUUAGUUGGAAAAUACAAUAAAUUUAUUUGUGAUUUGUUGAUUUAAAGGAUUUAUUUGAUGUCAUCCCGUAUUAUUCUUGUUUCGUAAGCUUCAUUAAAGUUUUCUUGUUUUGUUUUUACAGAUAUAGUCUUAAAAGUGCAACAACGUAAGCAAAACAAGAAAAGAGAAUAGAUCCGUCUAGAGUUUCCAUGGCAACGGUAGCCAUUUUGAAACUGAAUGACCACACAAUACAAUUACAGCCAGUGAUCGUCUUUGAGGAAAGUUUCAUGAAGAUUGUCCAAGCCAUCUCCGAGAAACAGCCCGUAGAACAAAAACAUGCGUAAAAUAUUGAUCAUAAUUGCUUUUAUCUGUGAUUAAUAAAAUCAAUAGAGGCUUCCACUU